AUAUGCUUGAUGAAGUUGUGGUCCAUUCUUACUUCUCUUCUGCAUAUUUAUCACAUCGGUUUC
rnacentral:sRNA from 1 species